GUGCCUGUGGUGUAGUGGUUAUCACAUCCGCCUAACACGCGGAAGGUCCCAGGUUCGAUCCCUGACAGGGACA
rnacentral:tRNA from 1 species